rnacentral:lncRNA from 1 species
UGCUUUUUGUCCGCAAUUCGCUUUUUGUCCGUUUUUGCUUUUUGUCCGAUAAUUUUGCUUUUUGUCCGACACUUUUGCUUUUUGUCCGUUGCUUUUUGUCCGUUUUGCUUUUUGUCCGAUUAUUUUGCUUUUUGUCCGACACUUUUGCUUUUUGUCCGUUGCUUUUUGUCCGUUUUGCUUUUUGUCCGAUUAUUUUGCUUUUUGUCCGACACUUUUGCUUUUUUGGCCAGUGAAUCUAAUGGCGAAUGGUCACUAUGUCUAAUGGCAAAUGGUCACUAUGUCGCUAAUGGCAAAUGGUCACUAUGUCCAAUGGCAAAUGGCCCGUGAAUCUGAUGGCAAAUGGUCACCAUGUCUAAUGGCGAAUUGCCAGUGAAUCUAAUGGCAAAUUGUCACUAUGUCUAAUGGCAAUUGGUCACCAAGUCUUGUGGCAA